GGAGCUGACCCCAGACUGCCGAGACCAGGACCCCUGCAAACUCUGCAUGACCUGAGUAGCAAGAUGAAAAGAAGAGAUGCACUUGUGACCUUCACAAGGAUGAACAUUUGGAUUUUUUUGAGGAGAGGAAAAGGCAAGAGGGUGGUGAAAUAUUCGAUUACGAUAGGCCAAGUUUAUUUCAGUACGCUUGGUCGUCGGAAAAACAAAUGGCAUUGCUGGAUGAACAGGCAUCAGG